UUCCGUAGGGUGAACCUGCGGAGGGAUCAUUACAGAGUUGCAAAACUCCCUAAACCAUUGUGAACGUUACCUAAACCGUUGCUUCGGCGGGCGGCCCCGGGGUUCUCCCCGGGCGCCCCUGGGCCCCAUCGCGGGCGCCCGCCGGAGGUCACCAAACUCUUGAUAAUUUAUGGCCUCUCUGAGUCUUCUGUACUGAAUAAGUCAAAACUUUCAACAACGGAUCUCUUGGUUCUGGCAUCGAUGAAGAACGCAGCGAAAUGCGAUAAGUAAUGUGAAUUGCAGAAUUCAGUGAAUCAUCGAAUCUUUGAACGCACAUUGCGCCCGCCAGUAUUCUGGCGGGCAUGCCUGUUCGAGCGUCAUUUCAACCAUCAAGCCCCCGGCUUGUGUUGGGGACCUGCGGCUGCCGCAGGCCCUGAAAAGCAGUGGCGGGCUCGCUGUCACACCGAGCGUAGUAGCAUACAUCUCGCUCUGGGCGUGCUGCGGGUUCCGGCCGUUAAACCACCUUCAUAACCCAA
rnacentral:rRNA from 1 species